AUGAUGAACAGAUACCCAAGAAGAGGAAGUCUUAAUCUAAAGGAAGAACAAGGAAGGAAAGUGAAAGUGUUAGUCUCUCAGUCAUGUCUGACUCUUUGUGGCCCUGUAGACUGUAGCCCAUGGACACGCUCCUCUGUCCCUGAAAUUCUCCAGGUAAGAAUACUGGAGUGGUUUGUCAUUCCCUUCUCCAGGGGAUCAUCCCAAUUAUCAUACCAAUCAAGGGGGCAAACCAAAGUCUCCUGUAUUGCAGGCAGUUCUUCACCACCUGAGACACCAGAAAAGCCCACAAAAAAAGACAAAAGAGAAGAUAUUUUGAAGAAGGACUAUUCACUAGGAGUUCAGAAACUGCAGUCUUACAGCGGCUUUAACUUACUUGAAUCUCUACAGACUCACAUACCAUCAAUUUUCGUGAUGAAUUGGAGAUUGGAGUCAGUGAUCUGAAGAGGAGAACAAUAUGAGCUACAGUUGACCUGAGCCCCCAGAUCAUUUCCAAUUGGGAAAUGUUGCCUUGUAGAUGCUGAAUCCUUGCAUCUAGAAGAGUAUGAUGAAUCAUUCUGACAAAUGCCCUGGCAAGUAAGUUGAUAAAAGGGAGAGGUUUAGAUAUUGUACAGCUGAGUAAUCUGGUCUAAUACAAUUAUAGAACUAAAACUUCUUUUAAAUAUAUGUGAUAACAUAGUGUCAUUUUAUAUACAAAGCUAUUAAAGCUGAAAUAUUAAAGUAGCAUCAUCAAGGACACAGUGUUAGUGCUUAGUUAAGCUUGAACAUAAAUAUACCUCCAGACUCAUCAAAAUUGCUUAAAAAAAAGUGCACAGUCAAUAUUACUGAAAGUUUUUGGAAUAUAUAAGAGUACCACAAAAUUAUUGUUAUUCCUUUCCUCUUUGCAUCUCUUGCUUUCUUACAAAAAAAGGUUUUGUUAGGGAAAGUAAUUUAAUAUUUCAGUUCUGUAUAGCUAUCAAUCUUGUCAAGUUGUUUUUACAUCAAUUGUUUAAUUUGACUUUUAAAAACAACUUUGUGAAGGAGAGGAUAAACUGGUGUCUUUAUUUAAUAAAACUAGGAUCUUGUCAAUGGCACUCCACUUCAGUACUCUUGCCUGGAAAAUCCUAUGGAUGGAGGAGCCUGUAAGGCUGCAGUCCAUGGGGUCACUGAGGGCCAGACACGACUGAGCGACUUCACUUUCACUUUUCACUUUCAUGGAUUGGAGAAGGAAAUGGCAACCCACUCCAGUGUUCUUGCCUGGAGAAUCCCGGGGAUGUGGAGCCUUUUGGUCUGCCAUCUAUGGGGUCGCAUAGAGUCGGACACGACUGAAGUGACUUAGCAGCUUAGCAGCAGGAUCUUGUCAAGAAUAUCCAUCUUUUCCAUCACUAUUUCUAAUUUAUUUUAAUAGCUUUACUGUAUUUAGGGAAUAUGUUACUAUUAUAUGUGCUGUCUUCUUGACUUAUAUUUGAACUCAAAUUACCAGACUCAGUUACUUCUAGGCCCUUCCAAUCAGAUGUACAGUAUGAGAGGCUCCUGUUUGUAGUAAGAUACAAAAGGAAGGAGACUGCCGAGCUUUCAUUUCAUUGGUAUUUGUGAAGACAGACAUUUAUCUCUUUAGGAAAGGUAGUGGCCCUGAUGGAAGAAAUGAUCUCAUUAGAGCGUUCCAGCAGUUUAGUUCUGUUUGUUUAGCUACCCCCAUAAUUUGGAAAACAGCCUAAUAUACUUUAACGAAUCACUUUACAUAUUAAACUAGUCAGAGUUGCUUCUAUUGUUUGCAACUAACAAUGAUAAUAAGAUUUGACACUUGCCUAUGAUGACACAGUGGCAGAACUUGAAUGAAAAAAAAAAUGAUGAGGAUGAGAGUUCUUAUGAGAGUGACAAAAGCAGCAUUUUAUCAUCCUCUUUGUACCUAGCAUUCAGCCACUCACCUGUUAAAACAAUAUGUACUGCUUCAUAACUAUUUUUCAUUAUUUUAUUUAUGAGAGUUUGGUGAAUAAACAAUUUCAUGGGGUGAAACUUUGCAUUAAAUUUUUUCAUAGCCAGGACAUGGAAGCAACCUAGAUGUCCAUCAGCAGAAGAGUGGAUAAGAAAGCUGUGGUACAUAUACACAAGGCAGUAUUACUCAGCCAUUAAAAAGAAUACAUUUGAAUCAGUUCUAAUGAGGUGGAUGAAACUGGAGCUUAUUAUACAGAGUGAUGUAAGCCAGAAAGAAAAACACCAAUACAGUAUACCAACACAUAUAUAUGGAGUUUAGAAAGAUGGAAACGAUAACGCUGUAUGUAAGACAGCAAAAGAGACACAGAUGUAUAGAACAGCCUUUUGGACUCUGUGGGAGAGGGAGAGGGUGGGAUGAUUUGGAGAAUAGCAUUGAAACAUGUAUAAUAUCAUAUAUGAAAUGAGUCGCCAGCCUAGGUUCAAUGCAUGAUACUGGAUGCUUGGGGCUGGUGCACUGGGACGACCCAGAGGGAUGGGACAGGGGGGGGGGGGGGGUCGAG
ensembl:lincRNA